rnacentral:rRNA from 1 species
UGCCUGCCGGCGACCGGCGCACGGGUGAGUAACACGUAUGUAACCUGCCCUAUGCAGGGGGAUAACCCGGAGAAAUCCGGCCUAAUACCGCGUAACACCUUUUGGGAGCAUUCCCGGAGGUUAAAGGAGAGAUCCGGCAUAGGAUGGACAUGCGUCGCAUUAGGUAGACGGCGGGGUAACGGCCCACCGUGCCGACGAUGCGUAGGGGUUCUGAGAGGAAGGCCCCCCACACUGGUACUGAGACACGGACCAGACUCCUACGGGAGGCAGCAG